AUUUUAAUUUCAAGAUAAAAUAAAUACAAUAAUGAGAUCACAGUCCAUUUCGAUUACUGACAAUCAAACGCAGCAUUAGUUCUUGAUUUUAUAUAAUUACAUUUUUUCGUAUGGAUCCAUAUGCCUGUACAGACUGUACAGUAUCCGCCCAAAUUUGGGCUUGCCUUGUCUCGCACCUUUGAAUAAAGACGGGCCCAAUUUUUCAAAAGAAUGGCUUGUUGGAUGUAUGUGUUGUAUUAUGAUGGAUCCUCAAUUCAUGAUCUCAAAAUCCAAUCAUUUUACAGUUUUAUUUAGUGUUGAGGUACGCGUAAAAAAAUUUA
rnacentral:lncRNA from 1 species